rnacentral:rRNA from 1 species
GCGCCUUGCCAGCCCGCUCAGAACUCAAAGGAUGACGGGCCCCGCACAAGCAGCGGAGCGUGUGGUUUAAUUCGAUGCUACACGAAGAACCUUACCAGGGUUUGACAUACAAGUAGUAGGGAAAGGAAACUGGACCGACCCUUCGGGGAGCUUGAACAGGUGCUGCAUGGCUGUCGUCAGCUCGUGUCGUGAGAUGUUCGGUUAAGUCCGCUAACGAGCGCAACCCUCGCUGUGUGUUACAAGUGUCACACGGAACUGCCGGUCAUAAACCGGAGGAAGGUGGGGAUGACGUCAAGUCAGCAUGGCCUUUAUAUCCUGGGCUACACACACGCUACAAUGGGAAGGGACAAUAGGUUGCGAAGCCGCGAGGCGGAGCCAAUCCAGCAAAACUUCCCUCAGUUCAGAUUGCAGGCUGCAACUCGCCUGCAUGAAGUUGGAGUUGCUAGUAAACGCAGGUCAGCCAUACUGCGUUGAAUACGUUCCCGGGGCUU